rnacentral:rRNA from 1 species
UACGUAGGGUGCGAGCGUUGUCCGGAAUUACUGGGCGUAAAGAGCUCGUAGGUGGUUUGUCGCGUUGUUCGUGAAAACUCACAACUCAAUUGUGGGCGUGCGGGCGAUACGGGCAGACUGGAGUACUGCAGGGGAGACUGGAAUUCCUGGUGUAGCGGUGGAAUGCGCAGAUAUCAGGAGGAACACCAAUAGCGAAGGCAGCUCGCUGGGACGUUACUGACACUGAGGCGCGAAAGCGGGUGGGAGAACAGG